CCUACGGGAGGCAGCAGUGAGGAAUAUUGGUCAAUGGGCGUAAGCCUGAACCAGCCAAGUCGCGUGAGGGAUGAAGGUUCUAUGGAUCGUAACCCUCUUUUAUAAGGGAAUAAAGUCUGGGACGGGUCCCGUUUUGUAUGUACCUUAUACAUAAGGAUCGGCUAACUCCUUUCCAGCAGCCGCGUUAAUACGGAGGAUCCGAGCUUUCUCCGGAUUUAUUGGGUUUAAAGGGUUCGUAGGCGGCCUUUUAAGUCAGCGUGGAAAGGCUGUGGCUCAACCAUAGAAUUGCCGUUGAAACUGGGAGGCUUGAGUAUGUUUGAAGCAUGCGGAAUGCGUGGUGUAGCGGUGAAAUGCUUAGAUAUCACGCAGAACCCCGAUUGCGAAGGCAGCCUGCCAAGCCAUGACUGACGCUGAUGCACGAAAGCGUGGGGAUCGAACAGGAUUAGAUACCCCUGUAGUC
rnacentral:rRNA from 1 species